rnacentral:rRNA from 1 species
UACGUAAGGGGCAAGCGUUGUCCGGAAUUAUUGGGCGUAAAGAGCUCGUAGGCGGUCUGUUGCGUCGGCUGUGAAAACCCGGGGCUCAACCCCGGGCCUGCAGCCGAUACGGGCAGACUAGAGUUCGGCAGGGGAGACUGGAAUUCCUGGUGUAGCGGUGAAAUGCGCAGAUAUCAGGAGGAACACCGGUGGCGAAGGCGGGUCUCUGGGCCGAUACUGACGCUGAGGAGCGAAAGCGUGGGGAGCGAACAGG